AAUAUGUUUUACACGUGACUUACUAUUGGUAAACACCGCAACCGCGCUUCCAAGUUACAUUAGAAUGUGUUGCAUUUCCCCAAAACCGUGGGUAAUUCUAAGUCCCAAAUUUAAUAAUAAUCGAUAAAGAUAUGCAUCAUUAGUGAAAGUUUUUCCACUAAUAAAAACUUAGAUGCUAGAUUAGUUACUCAACGCAAUCAUAUUUCAGUAGGCUACGUGUCUAUGACAGCCUAAAUAGUUCACUGGAUAGCAGUGCAAAAUAAUAAAUCCGACGGCAGAAUACAUUUAAUCACUAGACGCUUACCUAGAUUUGUCUGACUGAAUGUAUGAAGAAGUGUUAAGCACAAGCAACCACUCGCUGGGAAAACAUAGCCAAUUUAGCAAAUUCAUUAGAAAGGGUUGUGUUAUUACUGGCCAUGAACACCUUAGAGAAUAAGAAGUGCAUCAUAAUUUUAAACCGACGAGGAAGUUGCUGUUCAUUCUAAGUGUCUAAAAAAUAACUUGAUUGAAAAAAACUUGAUUAAUACUAUAUAACACGUAUAAUGGUCUGGUUAAAGAUUUCGUAAUCGAUUACAUCAACACCAGUACUAAAUUCACAAAGCUACUGGGAAUUAAGGUUUCUAUGAUUAGAAAAAAAACAAGACCACGUAACAGUUGAUAAGUAGUAGUGGUGACGAAGUAUCUAGCGGUCUUGUGGACAGUUUCAAUUCCUGAUGUUUUGCAUAGCAACAGCCCCCAUCCAACCUCCUCCUCCACAGGCCUUCUAGGGAUCGUCUACAUUUGUGGCUCCGAAAAGAAAAACGAACGUGUUCAUAGAGCAUGUAAAAGUACGCUAAAUUGCGAGCCAUAUUUAUGAAACCGCUCAAUGAAGUUUGCUUUGACGGCUGAUUCCAGAAACACAUUAUAUUGGGUGUUAAAAAAAACAUUAUAUUGGGUGUCUAAUAUGAUGAGAAAAAACCCUGAACUAGUUAAUUUUUUUUUCUCACAAAACGGUGAAGUCUGCACAGCAACAAGCGCCAUGAUUGCGUUGCACUAUGCGUCUCAGGCGCUGAAAGAUGGAGCGCCGUGAGGAUGCCACCGGCAGGUCGCCAGUUUACGCAGGCUUUGCAGGAAAUUAUUAGAGUGCGUUUUGGAAACCAGCAGAAAGACCUGCUUGAGUUCACUGUUUAAAACGUCCCACGAUGCUGUUAAAUGUUUGCAGAUAGACUACUCGAUGUGCAGAGAUGCGGUACUUUUCAAAUAAAGUCUCACCGAGAUGUUCCCAUCGGCAGAUCACGCAACCAUCGGUAUUUUUAUAUAUUUUUAAGUCAGAAACUCAUCCUUAUAAGAUGGAGAAGGACAAGUUUUGCGUUUCCUAAGACUAGCAGCAAGGGGAGAAAAGCGCUUAUGAAGAGCUCUUAGGGUUUGGGAACUGACGCGGCGCUGUGCAUGUCCCGAUUGGAGUCACUGGAAUCCAACAAGAAGAAAGCUUUACAGAGACGCCAAAAAGGUAAAAAAAGGAGAGUAUUCAGAUAAUCUCUGGCUGGUUAGCACAUCAGGAAAAAAUAAGAUUUUCUUCGAUUUUGAGACUGGGUGAUGCCUGUGAUGCGCAGAUGAAGCAGCAGUAUCCGAAUGUUUCUCCACCAGAUACAGGGGGAAAAGUUGGGGGUGAAAGAAACAUCGCCGCAGUCUCGUAGGUCCCACGAUGAGCAAAACCUGACGUCAACAAUUGGGACACAGUGAGAUUCAAAUGUAGACAAGAUAUGUAUGACUCGACUUGUCCGCGGGGCUGUGUGGACUCACUGUUUUCAUUCGCCUCCUUUUGUUAUUAAUGUGUUUCUUGGAGUCGCCAAUCCUGUGUUUAUUUUAGUAUUGCUUUUGCACAUCUCUCUACACCCGGCCACCCCUACAUAUAUGCACGCGUGGAGGUCCUGCACGCUGCUGGAGCGAAGUGACCAGCCUUUUUUUUUGCUUUCGAUGUUUCUUUUAAUAGUAUUGUGGUACGUUUGACUCCAGUCUGCUUAGCACAGCAGCAGAUUUUAUUUGUUCUUAAAAGCUUCUGGCUUGUGAAUGACGUCAGAAAUAAAUAAUUAUGAUGUCCCAUUUAGUUUUUUUUUACCACACUAUAUUUGCUUCUCAUAGAUUAAUGUAAUAAAGCAAUCGUUUAGGGUUAUAUGAAUUAAAUGUCAUGUUAGACGAAAUAAAACGACAACCCUUUGAUGUGCAAUUGACAGGCAAUUAAGUGAAGUAAAAUUAAAACUUUAAUGACAAUACUAUAUCUCAACAUAUCACUAAACAUAACUUCUCGGCAGUGUCAAAUACAUUUUGGUACCAGAUAUCAAACGGCAAUUACAAUAAGUAAACAUGUUUACAUAUAGUCAGUGAAUAGUUUGUUGUGGCUGAAAAGCUGUGUAAUAACAUUAACAUUAUACUGUUUAAUAAAACUAAUGAAUUAGCCGUUUCUGAAGUGGCGGGGCCCGUUUGGAAUUCGGUUUUUGUCACGCACAUCCCACCUUCCCUUCCCAACGUCAGCAGUGACGUUAAUUAAUAGGCUCGAUAUUUUGAGCUCGCCUACUACAACCCAUCACGUAGUCUUAAUGAAUAUGUAAACUCAUUCAAGGGGUUUAUUCAUUUAAUUAUUUUGGUAGUCAUCAGCAGUAACGUUUUUUGAGUCAACAAAGGCUGGUGAUUCAGCUUUCACAAUAACAGUUCAAGGAGAUGUAUUGCAUAACUGAGCUGGGUCCUGGAUAACGAGUCGCGCAGAAAUUGCAAACUGUGCUAUACUGCAUGUUUGCUUAAUAUAAUAAUGCUUAUAAUUAAAAUUAAGAAUAAUGCAGUCUUUGAAAUUUGUGAAAUACAACUUUAGUACAAACGUUAUUUGAAUGAAACUUUGUAUUUUCCCCAGUUUGUACCAAUAUGCGCAUCUUGGUAAUAAUCCUCAUUUUUAAGUGUAAACCUGACGUAGGCCUACGUGUUAUAUUUUGCGCAAAUUAGGUUUACCGUAACAAAAUUAUCACGGGGGGGGGGAGAUGGAAAUAAUGAAAACAAAAAAUUACCCAGUGGUAAAAGUUAAGACACCGAUACGGACAGUGGCUUAGUCUCAGCUAAAAUGUUUCAAACACAAGAAAUCCUUAAAUAAAACUCCAGUUUCACUCCAGGUACCAUGUCCAACAAGAGAGCAGUAACUACAUGUUAAUAACCAACACAGCCAUAUCAGUGAAAGUAUAUAUAGCCUACUGUUGCCAGGCAAAUCACUGAUGAAGUAGUAACAAAUAGAUUUUCUCGCAAUUCAGUGUCAAAACAAAAUACCGCAUUGCUAUCAUGCAAAUACAGGUACACGCUUAUAGUUACAUUACGCACGGCAGUAUAAAUUAGUACGAACUGGUCACCAAUUAACAUAAAAGCAUAUUACUCUUCAUAAGGAUUUGCGUACUAUGCUGUCGGCCGUAUCGUGCUCUCUACAUUUAAAAAUAAACUUUGACUAAGUUUAUCAUUUAAAAUGUAAAAGCCUCUCUAUAAGGAAGCCUGAUGGUUAGGCGUGCAAAUUAAAAUUAUUUAACUUUUUUCUUUAAUCCGCCACGAAACGCGUGCAUUACAUGUUGUAUAUGACUUUCAGUUAAAAUGAAUAUCGUACGCUUUUCAAGCAUUAAGACCGGUAAAUGAUUUUUUAAUUCAACGAGGGUAUUUGUUUUGCUAAUGUUUCCCUGUCAGCGUUGCCCCAGAAUACCCGCAUAAAGUUAACCAUUAAAUAUCA